GUCAGCUGCAGUACCGCAUACAGUCACUAUCAUGUCUCCCCCACGCCUUUCUUGCGGUGAGAUCAGAUGCAGAGCCCAGCGCAGGACGGACACAGUUUCAGCACCUCUUGUCUUGGUGGGAUGUAGACAACUAGACCGAACACAGCACGACUCCAAACUCAUGAUGGGCCUGGGUUAGAGGUUGAGAGACUGAGAGAAAGGGAGGAUGAGGAAGAGGAGGCUUGGUCUUUGCCUAUCUGAAGCCAUGUACAGACCACAAUAGCCCCCAGAUGUCACAUUGAAGGAUUAUGGCUUGUUGGAAGGACAUGCUACAUUUAGAUGGGACAAGAGAUGGAGUGAAGAGGAAAGAGCCUAUCGUUAAGGGCAGGAGCCAGCUGUGUGAGAUCUGUGAACACCAAAGGGGUAGAAGAAGGGGCUAGGGGCUGAAGGAAACAAGCCAGAAGUCUGAAAGAUUGAGGUCAAAGCUGUCCGUUGUUUUCCCUGCAGGACCAGUGAGAGAUUACGUUUUGAUGACAAGCUCUAUACCUUAAGGUGAGAUAAAAAUUAAAAGUCUGUCUUUAUGAAAAGGCGUCAUACCAGGAAACUUUUGGGGGGGAAACAGUUGAAAAUAAAGUACCUCCCACUUUUUUUCUUCAAGGAUUUUGCACUGUAGAAAAUGAAAAGCUCUCUGUUUGUUCAUUUUCUUUUCAUGGCCUGAAGACUACAAUUUUAGAAAACAUUAUUCAGCCUUUUCUAAAGAAGUAUCCUUGAUGCAGCUUUGGAUUGCACUGACUGUCAUACGUCAGCUUUGUCAUUUUCUAUUACUUCGGUAUUUACAGUGUAAUUCAUUGUUUUGAUUGGUAAAAGUUCAAUAGAUUUGAUGUGUGCUUAAAUCUCACCUCUCUCUCUCUCUCUCUCUCUCUCUCACUCUCACUCUCUCAGGGGAAGCUAAGGUUUGCUUGCAUGCACGGCACACUUCCUUUCUCUCUUUAUCUCUCUCUCAAUCUCUCUUUUUCUCUCUCCCACACUAAUGCCCUUUGCUAAGGUUUACGCGUCAUGGGUUCUGUCAUGCAUAUGCUUUAUUCUCUUAAUUCGGUCUCUUAAAUAUUCACUUUGAUGAUGCUAAUGUGUAGAAGCGAGUCGAACACCGGCGCAAUCUCAUGUUUGAAGACGUGUCGGGCGUCCUGUACCGCCACCUCAGCCUCGGCUAAUGAACGCUCCGGCUCCGCUCCAAAUACCUCGCUCUACACCCGCUGUUUCUCCCACUCUCUCACUGUCUGCUUUCUCUUUAAUUGUCAUCUAUGUUCACGAAAAAGACUUUCCGCGACCUCAUACUGACGUGAUGCUCGACUUCCCUUUACUUAAGUAGGACUUAGUGUUUACGUUGAAUAAGAGAUAUUGGAUAUUCCUUGUUCUAUUGUUUAGGUAACCGUGUUGGAGAUUUACCUAGAGAGAAGUUUUAAAUAGCACAUUACAUGUUUUAACACUGUUCAGGCUAGAGCCUGUAACUAUGGUUGAUUUUGCAAUAACACUUGCAAUAUUUAUAAUGAAUGGUUGCUCAGUCAUUUUAAAACGUUUUAAAAAAUGGUGGUGUAUAAUUUAAGGCGUGCAAAUAUGAUUUCUUUAUACUCAGUCCAAAUCGAGUGGGAGCACUGGAGGCCUCCAUUAUAUGGUCAUUAUAGGCUGCUGUGUGGGUAGUGAUUUAAGGAGAUUUGUUUCUCCUGCAGUUUCCUAGGAAAUUGCCCUCAUUAUAAUGGUUCUAUUCAGUUUGGAUCCAGAUCGAUCUCACACUCUUUCCACAGUGAGGCAGGGGUCUUAGUAACGCAUGUAGGUGUCAGUGUGUGAGUGACAACAGUGCAGUGAUUACUGCCAGGAGGCUGAGGGUGUCAACCAAGGGUUAACAAGGGUUUUAUAUACAGUCCGAGGCAUAUAAAGUAUGUAAGCACAAUAGUACACGGAUUACUAUUCAGUGGCUGAGAGUGUCAAACAAGGGUUAAGUUGGGGUGUAUGCAGUAGAGACCUAUAGAGUCCUGGUAACACCCCUCACUGACGGGCCAUAUGUCUGAAGGGAAUCUAAUGCUUUUAUGGCUCACAGACUGAGACUGUUUGACUAAAAGCAACUGUCGGUGUGUAUCUGUGUCUUUAUGCGUGCUGGGCAGGGGGUGUCAGUCUUCAAAUAACCACUUUUAGGCUCUUUAAUGUUCAAACUACCCAACUAUCUCAAUCAAUAUUGCUCAGUGUGCCGUUGAAUGUUGAAAAGAGGGCUUCGAAAGAGGGCUGCACGGCAAGGCCAGUAGAACCAACAGAGAACCAAUCAGAAUUACCCACCCUGCAAUGUCUGGAGUCAUCACAGUUCUAUUAGCAAGGAACGAUGCUCUUUAACAGUGUGGUAUUUGCUCUUCUUACAGUAUGCCGUUGUCAUGGUUUUGAACAUCUUGGAAGAGUGGCUACUGUCCUCUACUGUCGUUAUGGAUAGAAAACAUGACUUUGAGUCACUAGGGUUAACACCAGUUCUACGCAUUGGCAUCGCUGGGGGGAAAAAAGUGUUUUGUUAAUUAAAAGAUGUGUUUCAUGAGAACUUUUAUUAAACUGGGAUAUUAUCUUUGCUUGCAUUAUUGGUUUGGUUAUUUUCCUCAUCGACUGUCUCCACUGAUUUGUUCUAUGGCAAUGAACAUUUUUGUAAUUUGUUCCCCCCCCUCUCUCUCUCUCUCUCUCUCUCUCUCUCUCUCUCUCUCUCUUAUCUCUCACACACACACACACGAAAAUAUAAUCUAGUUUGGAAAAGCGACUGAGAUUGUUUUGAGCUGUACGUUUUCAGAGUUCUUAGAGAACAGUAGUGAAUCCUUCCCUACCUGGGCCUCGAGCUCCAGGGACACAAUCUCUCCAACACCAUGCAGCCUCUGGAUGAGAGACACACUGGGAGGUGUCCUUCACAUUACAACCUCUGGAUGAGACACACUGGGAGGUGUCCGUCACAUUACAGCCUUGGAGGAGAGGACAUACUGGGGGGAUGAA